GUGAAUCAUCGAAUCUUUGAACGCAUAUUGCGCUCUUUGGUAUUCCGAAGAGCAUGCUUGUUUGAGUAUCAGUAAACACCUCAACCUCCUCUUGUUUUUUCAAAAGGAGGGUGGACUUGAGCUAUCCCAACAACCUUCACCGGUAGGCGGGCGGCUUGAAAUGCAGGUGCAGCUGGACUUUUAUCUGAGCUAAAAGCAUAUCUAUUUAGUCCUCGUCAAACAGGAUUAUUACUAUUGCUGCAGCUAACAUAAAGGAUAAUUGUCCUCAUUGCUGACUGAUGCAGGAUUUUACGACACUUUAUGUGUUGUUCAACUCGAUCUCAAAUCAAGUAAGACUACCCGCUGAACUUAAGCAUAUCAAUAAGCGGAGGA
rnacentral:misc_RNA from 1 species